rnacentral:rRNA from 1 species
GACAGAGGGUGCAAACGUUGUUCGGAAUUACUGGGCGUAAAGCGCGUGUAGGCGGCUAAGUAAGUCGGGCGUGAAAUCCCACGGCUCAACCGUGGAAGUGCACUCGAAACUGCAUAGCUAGAGUCCUGGAGAGGAAGGUGGAAUGCUUGGUGUAGAGGUGAAAUUCGUAGAUAUCAAGCGGAACACCGGUGGCGAAGGCGGCCUCUGGACAGUGACUGACGCUGAGACGGCGAAA